UAGUGAGUUUGAUCCUGGCUCAGAACGAACGCUGGCGGCAGGCUUAACACAUGCAAGUCGAACGGGCCCUUCGGGGUCAGCGGCGGACGGGUUAGUAACGCGUGGGAACGUGCCCUUUGCUCUGGAAUAGCCCUGGGAAACUGGGGGGUAAUACCGGAUGUGCCCGUGAGGGGGUAAACGAUUUAUCGGCAAGGGAUCGGCCCGCGUCUGAUUAGGUAGUUGGUGUGGUAAUGGCGCACCAAGCCGACGAUCGGUAGCUGGUUUGAGAGGAUGAUCAGCAACAC
rnacentral:rRNA from 1 species